GGUGCGAGCGUUAAUCGGAAUUACUGGGCGUAAAGCGUGCGCAGGCGGUUUGGUAAGACAGAUGUGAAAUCCCCGGGCUUAACCCGGGAACUGCAUUUGUGACUGCCAGACUAGAGUGUAGCAGAGGGGGGUAGAAUUCCACGUGUAGCAGUGAAAUGCGUAGAGAUGUGGAGGAAUACCGAUGGCGAAGGCAGCCCCCUGGGCUAACACUGACGCUCAUGCACGAAAGCGUGGGGAGCAAACAGGAUUAGAUACCCUGGUAGUCCACGCCCUAAACGAUGUCAACUAGGUGUUGGGGAAGGAGACUUCUUUAGUACCGCAGCUAACGCGUGAAGUUGACCGCCUGGGGAGUACGGUCGCAAGAUUAAAACUCAAAGGAAUUGACGG
rnacentral:rRNA from 1 species